rnacentral:rRNA from 1 species
GAUGAACGCUAGCGGCAGGCCUAACACAUGCAAGUCGAGGGGUAGAGGAAGCUUGCUUCCUUGAGACCGGCGCACGGGUGCGUAACGCGUAUGCAAUCUACCUUUUACAGAGGGAUAGCCCAGAGAAAUUUGGAUUAAUACCUCAUAGUAUUUUCGAAUGGCAUCAUUUGAUUAUUAAAGUUCCAACGGUAAAAGAUGAGCAUGCGUCCUAUUAGCUAGAUGGUAAGGUAACGGCUUACCAUGGCAACGAUAGGUAGGGGUUCUGAGAGGGAGAUCCCCCACACUGGUACUGGGACACGGACCAGACUCCUACGGGAGGCAGCAGUGAGGAAUAUUGGACAAUGGGCGCAAGCCUGAUCCAGCCAUGCCGCGUGCAGGAAGACGCAUCUAUGGUGUGUAAACUGCUUUUGUACGGGAAGAAACACUCCCUCGUGAGGGAGCUUGACGGUACCGUAAGAAUAAGGAUCGGCUAACUCCGUGCCAGCAGCCGCAGUAAUAC